GAUGAACGCUGGCGGCGUGCCUAAUACAUGCAAGUCGAGCGAAUGGAUUAAGAGCUUGCUCUUAUGAAGUUAGCGGCGGACGGGUGAGUAACACGUGGGUAACCUGCCCAUAAGACUGGGAUAACUCCGAGAAACCGGGGCGAAUACCGGAUAACAUUUUGAACCGCCUGGUUCGAAAUUGAAAGGCGGCUUGGGCUGUCACUUAUGGAUGGACCCGGGUCGCAUUAGAAAGUUGGUGAGGUAACGGCUAACCAAGGCAACGAUGCGUAGCCGACCUGAGAGGGUGAUCGGCCACACUGGGACUGAGACACGGCCCAGACUCCUACGGGAGGCAGCAGUAGGGAAUCUUCCGCAAUGGACGAAAGUCUGACGGAGCAACGCCGCGUGAGUGAUGAAGGCUUUCGGGUCGUAAAACUCUGUUGUUAGGGAAGAACAAGUGCUAGUUGAAUAAGCUGGCACCUUGACGGUACCUAACCAGAAAGCCACGGCUAACUACGUGCCAGCAGCCGCGGUAA
rnacentral:rRNA from 1 species